CCGUCUGGUUGGUGGACGCGGCGACACCGGUCGCCUCGUGGGCGACGCGGGCGGCCUCGUUCGCGUUCUGCGCGAUCUCGCGGA
rnacentral:tRNA from 1 species